rnacentral:lncRNA from 1 species
CUAUAUUGUCAGUUUGUUGAAUUUAUCAGCGGAUGUCUACGACAAUCCACAGUUCUCAGUCGACCAAAAGAGGACAUUUCUGUGUAAUAACUGACGAAUUGUUUAAGAAAAGUGGAAGGACGUGUGCAAUACUUUAUUUUAUGGAAGAAUAAAAUUGAAAACUGCCAUUAAAUAUUACACGAAAAUAUAUCGAAGAAGGAAACACAUUUCGUGCUAAUGAGGGGAAAAGGAAAAUCAAAUGAAGAUGUUUUAAAAUUAUUUUUGAACUAUUUUAUUUUGCAAAAUUGCAUAUAAAUUGUUUGGAGAAAAAAAUAUGUAAAUUACAUUAAUUUGUGAUCGUGAUUAUGCGUGUCGGAAAUAUUUGUGAACUCU